UGAGCAACCUGCCCUUGACUCUGGAAUAACAGCUGGAAACAGCUGCUAAUACCGGAUACGACCUCCGAUGGCAUCAUCUGGAGGUGGAAAGCUCCGGCGGUCAAGGAUGGGCUCGCGGCCUAUCAGCUUGUUGGUGAGGUAACGGCUCACCAAGGCUUCGACGGGUAGCCGGCCUGAGAGGGCGACCGGCCACACUGGGACUGAGAUACCGGCCCAGACUCCGUAGGA
rnacentral:rRNA from 1 species